rnacentral:miRNA from 1 species
CAAAGUGCUUCCUUUUAGAGUG